CAAAUAUGUAAAUUUCCUGGCUUGCUCUAGAUCUCAUUUUGUUGUAAACAGGACCCUACAUUAACUUGAAUGCACUUUGCUGGGAUAGGUGUGCAUCAGAAUUAUCCUGUCUCACCUCACUUUCCAGAAAAAAUGUUUUCAGAGGAUAUCACGACAGCCUUGCUGUGAAUAUGGACUCCAGUGGAAGCAAAUCAGUGUCAUAAUCUACAGCUAGAAAGCAGAGCUGUCAUGAACAGCUCUGAAUGCCAUCACCAGGUAUAAGAAGUUAUUCAGUCUCUAUGCAAGCCAAACUCAGCAUCAGUAUGUGGGAAUCUUCCUUUAAGAUAAGGCCUCUUGGUGAGUAACUGGGAAUCAUUUUUACACAGGAAAGCAAGUCAACAGUGCAUACUUCUAUAACCUGAAACCACUUCUUGGAUGUUGUUAGUUUAAAUAUAUACAUCUCUCCUCUCUCUCUCUCUCUCUCUCUCUGUGUGUGUGUGUGUGUGUGUGUAUGUAUGUGUACCUGGCAAAGUCAAGAGGACUGCUGAGGAGCUUCAGAAAUCAUCAUCAUUCACUCAUUCCCCUAAUUACAACAAGAUGAGAAUACUUUAAAGAGAA